rnacentral:rRNA from 1 species
UACGUAGGCAGCGAGCGUUGUUCGGAGUUAUUGGGAGUAAAGAGUGCGUAGGCGGUUUUUUAAGUUUGGUGUGAAAUCUCCCGGCUCAACUGGGAGGGUGCGCCGAAGACUGGAAGGCUUGAGUAUGGGAGAGGUAAGCGGAAUUCCUGGUGUAGCGGUGAAAUGCGUAGAUAUCAGGAGGAACACCUGCGGUGUAGACGGCUUACUGGACCAUAACUGACGCUGAGGCACGAAAGCGUGGGUAGCAAACAGG